rnacentral:rRNA from 1 species
GUGUCAGCCGCCGCGUAAUACGAAGGUGGCAAGCGUUACUCGGAAUUACUAGGCGUAAAGGGCAGGUAGGCGGUUUGAUAAGUCUGUUGUGUCAGCUCCUGGCUUAACUGGGAGAGGUCAACGGAAACUAUCAGGCUUGAGUGUAGGAGAGGAUACUGGAAUUCCUGGUGUAGCGGUGAAAUGCGCAGAUAUCAGGAGGAAUACCAGUGGCGAAGGCGGCCUUCUGGACGGAUACUGACGCUGAGGCGCGAAAGCCAGGGGAGCAAACGGGAUUAGAUACCCCGGUAGUCC